AAGAAAGCUGGAGAGGGACUUUUUACAAGGGCAUGUAGUGAUAGGACCAGGGGUAAUGGCUUUAAACUGAAAGAGGGUAGAUUUAGAUGAGAUGUAAGGAAGAAGUUCUUCACCAUGAGGGUGGUGAGGCUCUGGAACAGGUUGCCCAGAGAGGUUGUGGCUGCCCCAUCCCUGGCAGUGUUCAAGGCCAGGUUGGAGGGGGCUUUGAGCAACCUGGCCUAGUGGAAGGUGUCCCUGCCCAUGGUAGGGGGCUUGAAACUAGAUGACCUUUAAGGUCCCUUCCACCAAACCAUUCUAUGAUUCUAUGAGUUUAUGUUUAUAUUUUACUAUCUUAAAUCCUUUUAAAGUUGGAUUUUAAUGUAGUUGCGCAUAUACAAUAUCUAGGAGCUGACCUGCAUGCUAAUAAGUCUUUAAGAUCAUACAGCUGAAGGAGAACAUACAGGGUCAGAGACACAAGUGAACGGUGAUGCGCUGCUUUGAGUGGAUGACUAACAUCACCAGUUCCCACAAGCUCCUAAACUUACAGGGGUGACAGUGGACCUUGCCAUAGUGAGGCAUGCAAUGACCUGCAGUGAUUCCCGGUCUCAGGCUUUCUCUCUGUACUCCACUGCUUGACAAAGAGAGCUGGUUAACACUUGCCAAGAGCGACACUUCUCCACAAUUCAGCAGCUCAUACUCAUGGACACAAACCAUCUGGACUUUUUGAAAGAUUUGAGUUGGAAGCCAAGGUUUGCCUCUCAAAUCUGUUGCCACUGAUACUCUUCAUUAUUAUUUUUUUUUCUCUCUCUCUCCCAUUACUAAGAGCCUUGCAAAUUUGCAAUUCUGACCUACCAUUUUCUUAUGACCUACUGUUGCUGCUGUUAUCACUUAUUUUUGUAGAUUUUAUGUAUUGUCCUCUCUAUGAUACCAGAACUAAGUUUCCAAACAAUACCUGUAAGGAAUCACCUGAGUAGCCUAAAAUAAAAACGAUCCCAAGCUUUUCAUUAGAUUCCAAGCUUACACGUCACAUCCGCUAUAGUGUCAUCCCAAAGCAGUUUUAUGUUUUCUUUCUUUAAACAGAAACUCUGCUGAAAGUUGGAGAAAAAAUAUACAACCCAAUCACAGGAAUAUCUAGUUAGAGGAGACCUGCAAGACAUUCGUGAUGCUGUGACCAGCCACUGGUAGAUCGUAUGGCAGACAGUAUCUAAUCAGACUGUAUGGCCUGACCAAAGCACAUGCCAUGCAGUGUUACUUCUGAGCCUCUAACACAGGGUGAGGAUGAAGUGGCCUUUCCGGAUUAUGUUCCCGUGUUGGAGGCACUGGAGUGGGGACUCAGAAGCCACGGGGGGAACUUGUCUCGUUGAUACUCUGCCUGGAAAACUGAGGCACAGUCCAUCUGCAGAGAACUUCAUGUGUAUGCUGCAUAAAAGCAAGGGUGGACAUCCAGUUUAAAUUUACCAUUUUGACCACCUCGGCACUCGGCAGAAAGAGGGAGGACUCCUGGAAGGUGAUUCAUCUUGGGACAAAACUCACAGCUCAUUUUCGGCAGUCUGAGCAGAGGUUGUGCAGCUGUGGUGUCAGAGCUGGCCCAUGGAUCCUUGGUGCACAGACUGCUAAAGCCCUGGUGACAGGGGAAGCUUGCAGCAGGGUACAGAAAGAAGGAGAUGGGGUUCGCUGAACAGCUUCAUGGCAGGGAUCCAGCAUGGGAAGCAAGAAGACAGAAAGUGUUUGUCUAUUCAUAGCAGGUCCACAUACCUGGAAAACCAGUAACUGUAUGUAGGAGCUUAACGUUUGAAGGAAAUACUCAAGAUACUGCUAUCCGCCUCCCUGUGCUGUGCCCCUCACUCAGCUGCAUUGGAACAACAGUUUGUGUGCUUACAAUGUAAAUCGGAUUAUGAACUGAACUAGUGUUCAAAAAGCACCAAGUUUUUUUCUUAAGUCAAAUCAGUUCCCUGGUCUGCCUCACAGCAUGGCACAUCAUCACUCAGGGGUAAAAGAAAAUGCCUAUGCUAGCCUCACUGCUGAAUUUAUCAUAACGUGAAACGAUGGUGUGAGAAGCCAUGUGAGA